AGGACAAGAGACUUCUAUACGGUAUGGAGGGACGAUUUGGGCGACAUCUGAGACGCAGCCGCACAUCAAGAAGCGUCCGGGCUCCAGGGACAGGGCGGCGGCCUCUGUGGUGUCGGUGCUGCUGGUGGCGGCUGUGAGGAACCAGUGGCAGCCAGUCCAGAGCCCGCUGCUGCUGCUGCCGCUGCCGAGGCAACGAUCCAAAAGGUAGUUCUGGCACUUGGAUACUACUACCUUGGAGCAACUUGUCAUGCCUGCAUUGUGUGGAACCAGUGUUCAAAAUAAAAAGCAAAAACUUCAGGCUGGUGGAGGAGGGAGCACACAACGUCCUGGUACUCCAGGGAGACCAUUUGAUAUGUUAAAUAGAAUAUAUCAUUGUUGUAUUGCUUUCUGCCUUAAUGCCAAUUGAUAUGCUGAAGACCUCAAAAAGUUCCUGAGAAAUCCAUUUCAAAUUCUAAUGAAGAAAGAAGAACUGACCUUUGAAAAGGUCAAUGUCUUAUAAUAAUUUUGAAAGAGGGUGGUGACAGAAAGAAAGAGGCAUUACGAAGAGGGAAUUCAGCUAAGGGACCAACCACAUUUUGAUUACUACUGACUUACUGGCAUUUAAUUUAAUUACAAUAUUUACCUACUAAAAGAUGGUUUCAAGGGGAAGAUUUUUCGUCUUUGUCAGCUCAGGCUACGUGGGGGAAUAAAGACCAUACUCCAAAUUGGCAGUGGGAGUCAAUUUGGUAGGAAGGCUGUGGCCAUAAACAUUGAAGAAGACAAGAAGAUUCUUUGUGACACUGAGCCUUUCUACCAUACUACACUGGAGGAAAUGCCAAUGAAUGUGGCUGACCUAAUUUAAUUCCUAGGAUGAAAUGGUUUUGAAUGUAGUGCUUGCUGUUGGUGAAUAGGCAAUCACAAAGUGCAUCAUGCUUCUUUUGGGGGAAAUAUUUGAAGCUUUGUCUCAAUGCUCAUAACAGAUCAAAAAUAUAGAUUUUGAUAGCAAAGCAACUUCAGCCAUGAGCUCAUGUGAGGAAAGUCAUUGGCUUUAUCCUCUUUAGAAUUAGACUGUUGGGGUGGCUAUAAAAGAUGGGCUUGUACCCAAUCGAAAAAUGAGCAGAAGACCUAAAUAUACAUUUCUCCAAAGAAGACAUACAGAUGGCCAACAGGCAAAUGAAAAAAGUCUCAACAUUGCUAAUUAUCAGAGAAAUGCAAAUCAAAACUACAAUGAGAUACUGCCUCACACCAGUCAGAAUAGCCAUCAUUAAAAAGUCUACAAAUAGGGCUUCCCUGGUGGCGCAGUGGUUGAGAGUCCGCCUGCCAAUGCAGGGGACAUGGGUUCGUGCCCUGGUCCGGGAAGAUCCCACAUGCCGCAGAGCGGCUGGGCCCGUGAGCCAUGGCCGCUGAGCCUGCGUGUCCGGAGCCUGUGCUCCGCAACGGGAGAGGCCACAACAGUGAGAAGCCCGCAUACCGCAAAAAAAAAAGAAAAAAAAAGUCUACAGAUAGCAAAUGCUAGAGAGGGUGUGGAGAAGAGGGAACCCUCUUACACUGUUGGUGGAAAUGUAAAUUGGUGUAGCCACUAUGGAGAACAGUAUAGAGGUUCCUCAAGAAACUAAAAAUAGAAUUACCAUAUGAUCCAGCAAUCCCACUCCUGGGCAUAUAUCCAGACAAAACUAUAAUUCAAAAAGAUACAUGCACCCCUAUGGUCAUAGCAGCACUAUUCACAAUAGCCAAGACAUAGAAACCACCUAAAUGUCCACCUAGAGAUUAAUGGAUAAAGAAGAUGUGGUACAUAUAAUACAAUGGAAUACUACUCAGCCAUAAAAUGAAUGGAAUAAUGCCAUUUGCAGCAACAUGGAUGGAACUGGAGAUUAUCAUAGUAAGUGAAGAAGUCAGAAAGAGAAAGAAAAAUACCAUAUGAUAUCACUUAUAUGUGGAAUCUAAAAUAUGACACAAAUGAACCUACCUACGAAAUAGAAACAGACUCACAGACAUAGAGAACAGACCUGUGUUUGCCAAAGCAGUGGGGGUGGGGAGAGGAGAGAUGGAGUGGGAGUUUGGGGUUAGCAGAUGCAAACUAUUACAUACAGGAUGGAUAAACAACGAGGUCCUACUGUAUAGCACAGGGAACUAUAUUCAACAUCCUGUGAUAAAACAUAAUGGAAAAGACUAUGAAAAAGAAUAUAUAUUUCUGUAUAACUGAAUCACUUUGCUGUAGAGCAGAAAUUAACUCAACAUUGUAAAUCAACUAUACUUCAAUUUAAGAAAAAGAUGGGGUUGUAAAUCUUUCUUAGAAUCUUAUCUCCUUGUUCUCCACACAUGGUUAUAUUGAGUGUUCACUAUCAUUUAAUAAUAUACUUGUUGACUGAAAGAUAUGUGCUGUAUAAAAGCAGCCAAUUAUAUUAAACUAGUUUAUCUGCUGUUAUUGUGUUAGUCGUUAGACUGAAUGGAACUAACUUUAAAAUGAUUUUUUAAGAAAAUAUUUGAAUUUAUUUUGUUUGGUAUCGUUGGUAAGUGUAAACUAGAGUCUUUUGCUAAACACCAGCAACAA